GACGAACGCUGGCGGCGUGCUUAACACAUGCAAGUCGAACGGUAAGGCCCUUCGGGGUACACGAGUGGCGAACGGGGGAGUAACACGUGGGUAAUCUGCCCUGCACAUCGGGAUAAGCGUGGGAAACUGGGGCUAAUACCGAAUAGGACCACAGGACACAUGUCCGGUGGUGGAAAGCUUUUGCGGUGUGGGAUGGGCCCGCGGCCGAUCAGCUUGGUGGUGGGGUGAUGGCCUACCAAGGCGACGACGGGUAGCCGGCCUGAGCGGGUGUCCGGCCACAGAGAGACGGAGCAGCCGCCCAGGGGCGGACGGGAGGGGGCAGUGGGGAAGAUUGGAGAAUGGGCGAAAGACCGAUGCAGCGAGGGUGAGGGAGGGAUGCGGGCCUUCGGGUUGUAUCCUUCUGUCAGAAUAGACGCAGGUUCGGGUUCUGUCGGGCUGACGGUAGCUGGAGAAGAAGCACCGGCUAACUACGUG
rnacentral:rRNA from 1 species